UGGGGAAUAUUGCACAAUGGGCGCAAGCCUGAUGCAGCAACGCCGCGUGAGGGAUGACGGCCUUCGGGUUGUAAACCUCUUUUAGUCAGGAAGAAGCCGUAAGGUGACGGUACUGGCAGAAAAAGCACCGGCUAACUACGUGCCAGCAGCCGCGGUAAUACGUAGGGUGCAAGCGUUGUCCGGAAUUAUUGGGCGUAAAGAGCUCGUAGGCGGCUUGUCGCGUCUGCCGUGAAAGCCCGAGGCUCAACCUCGGGUCUGCGGUGGGUACGGGCAGGCUAGAGUGCGGUAGGGGAGAUUGGAAUUCCUGGUGUAGCGGUGGAAUGCGCAGAUAUCAGGAGGAACACCGAUGGCGAAGGCAGAUCUCUGGGCCGCUACUGACGCUGAGGAGCGAAAGCAUGGGGAGCGAACAGG
rnacentral:rRNA from 1 species